AUGCUAACUAUCCUGAAGAUGAGCGGCGACACCAUGCCGCUUUCAAGAUAGCGAACGAGUUUCCUAACCAACCCCUCGGUACUAAAGAGU
rnacentral:tRNA from 1 species